CCCGGCCCGCGCGCCGGGAACAAAGACGCCCGCGAGCCCGUGGGGAGGACCCCCGCCCGCCGCCCGCCGCGCCUGCGCCCCGCGACCCCCGACAGGCCCGGGCGGGGACAGGGGCGCCGCGGUGGCGGGGCGCGCGCGCCGCUCGCGGUCCAGCCCGCGCGGUCCCCGUCCCGCAGCCGCCUCACGCGGCCACGGCCGAUCUCGUCACGCGCGGCAGCCGCGCGCCGGCCCGGCAGUCGGCCGCAGCCGCCCUGUCCCUGUCCCGCACAGGCCCGGCCGCAGCCGUGUCCUCACCCCCGCUCCUCGAGCGCCGCCCGCGAAGCCACCGGAGAGAGAGCCAUUCUCUAGAUUCGCCCCUGCAAUCUAGCUGCCCCUGACACAGAGAACUGCCCAAACGAAAGACAUCUGAGAUCACAGUGGAGCCGGACAACCAGAUAUUGAGCCAGAGCAGAAUUAUUUACCACAUUUCAGAGCCCCUAAGGAAGCUGAGUAUUCAGCCUGAUGUCCAGUGCCUGGUGCUAGGAGGCUUCAGCCACCUGAGGAGGAGGCAAGCUGCUGAGAUGGACUGCCACCUAGCGACAAGCCUUUAAAGUGGGAGGGAGGGAACUGAAGUUGACCUAAUACCGGACCCCAGUGCAGCAGUGCUUGCACACGUGUCUCACCUGGUCCUCAUAAUUACCUUCUAAUCAGGGAUUAUUGUCCCCAGUUUAAUGAUGAGGAAACAGACUCGGAGUUCUGUAACUUGCCCCAAGGCCACACAACUAACAAGAGGUCAUUUGAACCCAAGUCUGUCUGACUCCAUGCAUUUGCUGCCUCAAAGAGAGCCACUGGCUUAAGUAGGUCAAUAGUCAGUGGGCAUGGAGGCUAGCUGGCUAAUCAGUGUAGGUGAGGGGAGGCCUUGGGUAUGGCUGGCCCAGGGCACAUGGAACUCAGAAACUUAAGUUCUCAUAAAGUGUGGCUUGAGCUAGCUUGGGCUUAAUAUGGUGCUGCCCCUGUCUGCAGCCCCUGAGCUUCCCUGUGUGGCCGUUGGUGGCAUGAGUUGGGAAAACAAGAGAAACCCAGCACCAGCCCUCCAGGAAUUCAUAGGCAUUAAACAGACAAACACUUGUUAUGUAAGGUAAAUUGGGAUGAGAGCUACAGAGGAAAAGAACAGAGGGCUAUGAGAUAAACGUUAGAGAGCCCUACUUCAGAUCUAGUAGGUAAGGAGGACCCCUCUAGGACCGAAGAAAGGCCCAAAGGAUGUGAGUAGAUGGCCAGGUGAAUUUUUAGGGGUAAGAAAGUACUUUCUAGAGGUAACAGCAUGUACAAAGGCCCUGAGGUUAGAAAGAGCUUAGUGGAUUGAGGAAUAGAAAGGAGGCUAGAGUUUACUAAGUAUGGGGGAGCACUUGGAGAGCAUUUGAAGUAAGGAAGACAGGUGCGGGCUGAAUGGGGACCCUCCCUGCCUAUCUGACUUUGUCCAUUUUUCUAGGAGGACCCCCUCCUAAGUGCUGCAGCUCUCCUUGAGCUUCUUAUGCCAACUUGGGCAGCCUGUGGGCUGUAAUGUACUUUUAAAGUCGGCUUUUCUAUUUUCUGAAGCUUCCAUAAUGCAGCUCAUGCUUCCUUGCUUUUGCUUGUGCUUUGGUCUCUGGGGCCGGGCCCCCAGGGGCUUCAGAAAUGCCUGCCAACAGAAGCUCAUAUUUUCAGUCGGCUGCCAGGCCCUCCUUCAGGAAACAGGGCCCCACUUCCUCCUGGGAUUUCUGAGCCAGCAUCCCAGGCCUCAGGUGCCUCCCUCCACCAAAGGAGUUUCAGGAAAAUCAGGGCGCACAAAGGGUGUGGCUGAUAUGGACUUUCCCCAGCUCAGCAUAUACUAGUAUAUGGGUACGUGGGUGUCAUUGGCAAUGUGUGCAGCUGCACUGGCUGGGAGGGAGCAGCCUAGCACCCACUCAAGGCACAUGCCCGUGACAUCACCCAGGCUAGUCCUGCUUGGGCAUGUUUCUGCCGACACUCAUGCUUCAAUAUGCCUGGCCCCCACCAAUACCUGUGCCUGAGGUCUGGGGAGGUGUCUCAGCCCACAUGACCCUCUGGCGUGUGGGCCUGACCUCCCAGAUAUUCAUUACAAAACAUUUAGAACAGUACUUAGCAUAUAGUAAGCCUAAUAGAACAGCUGCACUCACAUUGUCUCAUUUACUCCUCAUUGAGGUAAGUACUCUCAUUAUCCCCAUCCUACAGAUGAAAAACCAACGCAUGGAGAGACAUGUCCAAAAACACAGCUAGGAGGUGGCAGAGAUGGGAUUCAAACCCAGGCAGCCUGGCUCGAGUCAAUUCUGUCACCUCUCAUGUAGGUAUGAACAUUCUAUUAUAUAUCCUCACCCCUUUGCAUAAUACCCAUACCCGCUGUUUUCUAUUUUUAGUUAUUUGGUGAAGUGCUGUCACAGGUUGGGUUUCUUUGGGAAGCAGAUUCUACAGAGGUUAGUAUGCAGAAUGUUUAUUAGGGAGUGCCCUUGGCUGGGAUCAGCACUCUGGAAAGGAGCUCCGGUGGCGCAAUUGGUUAGCGCGCGGUACUGAUACCACACUGUGGAAGGAAGAGGCACAGGGAGAGUCCCCAGGGAGCCCUGGCCAAAUGGCUCUCUGCUGCUGAGGUGACCUUAGAUAGCUGACAGCACUCUCAGCAGUUGGGGCAAUAAGUGCUUCCUUGUUGGGGAAUCUGGGUGGCACACAUCACUGUGCCCACCACAAAUGCAUUCUUUUCCAGUCCUUUAAAAAAAGUGUAGGGUACUUAAAGGGCAAAAAUACUGUAGUACAGAAAUGGGAUUUGCAGUUAUAAAAGGAGAACUAUAGUAUCGUUAAUAUGGGUUAACAUAGCUGCUGUGACUGAGAAUCAGAUGUAGCUGAGCUUCCUCGUAGCCAAAGCAAAAAUUCUUUCUAUUCUGAUAACUAAUUAACUUAGGGGAGAAAAAUUCUCCUAGGGAUAAACUAUAAAAGAAGUUUCUUAUAUGGACACUUAUUUGUUUGAAAUAGUGGAGAAUGUUCUCAACAAAUUUACAGCAAAUGCUGCCAGUUUAUUUGUUUCUGGUAAUAACCAUGAAUAAAUAUAGAAGGUAUAAUAUAACGGUAUAGCUUAGUGGAGUCCCUUCUACCAUUGAUUUAUAGAUUGGCAGUGUCUAAUUUGAUCCAUACAUAAAACUUUAUUCCUUUUCUUUAAAGUAAUCUUUAAAUUUUACUCAGUAGUUUGUUAGAUGUCUAACCAGCCCUUCUCAAGGGUUUUUGAGCCAGCCUGCACCUUGGUGUACAGCCAGUACUUAGUAAGUACUCACCUCAGUGCACCUUGAGCUCCACCCCACCUUUGGUCUAGGCUCCUUGACCUCUGGCCCCAAUAUCUAUCUAUGCCUCCUACGUAGUCGUUGGACCUGACACUUCAGUGAUGUCCUGCUUUCCUUCUCACCUGGAAUGUACUCUCAGCCCUUUAAGAACCUCAUGUUUUCUAUCAUUCAAGGCAAAACAAGGCCUGGCCCAGCCACAUCCAGGGACUCUGCUUUCUCUGCAGACCCUUCGUUGCCUCUGCUGAUGGGUCUCUAUACUGGGACCCAGAGAGGCAGGAGAGCUGGGCUCCAGAUGUACCUUCUUCAGGGAGGUGGCAGGGAUAUGUAAUUGCUUCACUAAAGGAAGAGAAGGGGAGAGUCCUUGCUAGCCACUGGCCCAGGCUAGGGCAGACCUAUUUUUCUGCUUUUCUCCUAACAAAUACUCCUGGUGCCUCCUCGAUAGCAGUAACACAGCAGAGAUGGAUCAGACCAAGUUUCCACUCCAGUACAGGACAGUUCAUUGUGAUAAAGGCCCCUGGAACCUUGAUAAGGGACACAGACCUUACCUGACUUAGCCCUUUUAUGGCUGAGGGGUUGGAGAAAAGUGACAGAGUAUAUGCCUGAAUAUGUGGCAGGUCCAAAUAUAAGGUGAUCACUCUUUUUUCCAAAAAUGUCACUUCAGGUGUUCUGUGGCUUUUUUGCAACUAAAAUAUAAACAUUUUUAGAGAUGCAGGAUUCAAAUGACCACAUACAAGUUUUAGUUACACAUAUCUUAAAUCACAUAUUAUUUGAAACAAUAUAUUAACUUGUGAAUGUUACUUUCUUGCUCUUACUUUUGCAGUAAUAAUGUUCGAACUCUUUAUAUGAAUCUUUCAUUUCUUUGUAGAAAUCACUAGAGCCACUUUUGAGUCAUCUAAUUUCUGAAAGCACAUCACUUUGCUGCCUUCUAAGUUGAGAGCACUUUUGAAAAAUCAACUUUACUGAGAAAUAAUUUACCUAUAAUAAAAUGCAUCCAUUUUAAGUGUAAAGUUUGGUGAGCUUUGGCAAAUGUAUACCACCCAAUCAAGAUGUAGAACAUUCCCCUGCCCCCGAUUUGGCCAUCACUAAUCUACUUUCUGUUACUACAGAUUAGUUUUGCCCAUUCUAGAAUUUCAUAUACAUGAAAUCCUUAGUUAUAUGCACCAUGUGUCUAAGUCCAGCAUAAAGUUUUUGAGAUUUGUCCACAUUGAUGUAGAGAGAAUACUUUUUGAAUUAUGUGAUGCUAUUACUGGGAAUUUUAACUAAACCUUUUUGUAUAGCAUUUGUACAAGACAGGUUUUAUUUCCAUUCUCCCAUAGCUAUAUAUUAGUAUUCAGUUGGUCAGACUACCCACAGACCCCUUCUAUAAUGUUUUGACACAAAUCUUAACUCUAUGUUAUCCAUAAAUAUUUGUGUUUUUUUCUAAGAGUUUUUAAAAAACUAUAUAUAGAACUAUAGUACCAUUAUCAAACCUAAAAAAAAAUCAACACCAUAUUGCUAUUUAAAAUGACUGUUGAGAGGUUUGUUUACACGUAAUACUUAGGAUUGUGAGAAAUAAUUACUAAGUGUGUGGUCAAUUUCUUUGCCUCCUUGUUUACUGAUUCCAUCAUGGGACUACUUAUAAUCAUCCAAAAGUAGCUUGGCUGAGGUCAUUUCAGGGUAAUGUGUUUUCUCCAAAAAAGUGCUUUUUGGUUCACAACAAGUUUAGAGAGCAUCCUAUUAUAGGAGAGAUUUUGUAAGGACCCAAAUGUAAGUAAACUCUUUUCUCAGGUGAUUUCAGAGUCAUUAAUUUAUUGGACUUGUGAGAAAGGAAUGAAGGGUGAUGGCUCCCCUGGGUUCCGGUUGAGGGACAGUGGAUGGGUUUCACCAUCUGGCUUCUAGUAGGUACUGAGCUCAGUUCUAGAGAUUUGAGAUUGAGUAGCCCGUGACACCCCCGCAAAGAUGUAGUUGGCAAUGUGUCUGGAGCUCAGGAAAAGGGUCUAGGCUGGAGCCUUCACGUUCAGGUGUGAAUGAAACCAGGCCGUGUGAGAAGAGGAGUAACUGAGAAGCAACAGCCUGAUAGAGGUAGGAGCAAAACCAGGUGGUGGUGUGGAAGCCAGAGAGAAGUGCUUUAAAGGGGGUGGUCACGUAUUGUAUAAUUUCACAUUAUGUGAGAUGUCCAGUAAAGAUAAUUUACAGAGAAAGUAGACUAG